GAUGAACGCUAGCGGCAGGCCUAACACAUGCAAGUCGAGGGAGAAGCCCUUUCGGGUGCGGAAAACGGCACACGGGUGCGUAACGCGUAUGCAACCUACCUCUCACAGGGGGAUAGCCCGAAGAUAUUUGGAUUAAUACCCCAUACUCUUAUUGGAUGGCCUCAUUUGAUAAUUAAUACUGCGGUGGUGAAGGAUGGGCAUGCGUCCUCUUAGCUAGUUUGAGUGGUAACGGCACCCCAAGGCUACGAUAUGUAGGGGUCCUGAGAGGGAGAUCCCCCACGCUGGUACUGGGACAGGGACCAGACUUCUACGGGAGGUAGCAGUGCGGGAUGUUGGUCAAUGGACGGAUGAAUGAAGCAGCGAAGCCGCGUGCAGGAAGAAUGCCUUAUGGGUUGUAAACUGCUUUUAUUGGGGAAGUAUAAGGUGUACGUGUACGUUGGUGACGGUACCAUAUGAAUAAGCACCGGCUAACUACGUG
rnacentral:rRNA from 1 species